UACAGAGGUCUCAAGCGUUGUUCGGAUUCAUUGGGCGUAAAGGGUGCGUAGGCGGCGCGGUAAGUCGGGUGUGAAAUCUUGGAGCUUAACUCCGAAACUGCAUUCGAUACUGCCGUGCUUGAGGACUGGAGAGGAGACUGGAAUUUACGGUGUAGCGGUGAAAUGCGUAGAUAUCGGGAGGAACACCUGAGGCGAAGGCGGGCUAUUGGGCCGAUACUGAC
rnacentral:rRNA from 1 species